CAGAUGCUAGUUUCUAAGAUUAAGCCAUGCAUGUUUCCGCAACAGGGACGAAUAGCUCAGUAAAACUGCGAUGAUUUAGUCUGCCUGUGCAGAUAACUACGUGAAAAUGUAGCUAAGGGGAGGCAGAAUAAGACGCAGCACUAUCAGUUAGUUGGUAGUGUAAUGGACUACCAAGACGAUGACGGUUGACGGGGAAUCAGGGUUCUGUACC
rnacentral:rRNA from 1 species